UUUCUUAUAAUUUAAUUUAAUUCAGUUUAAUUUUAUUUCUAUUGCUUUUGCUUUUUUUUUAUUUUAUUUUUUUAUUUUUUUUAUUUUUCUUAUGUUAUUCCAUAUCAUUGAGUAUAUGCAUUAUUGACAGACGCUCUGUUUCCUGUCAAUACAUAUCUACCGGCUUGAAAGGGAUUACGUUUUAUUACUCCAAUAGUAGAGUCUGGCCCUCAGGUUGAAACAAGAACAACAACCACGGGAGUAACAACAACUCUAUUUUACGUUUCACUGGUUAUCCAACUAUGAGGAAAUUGUAAUGAUAAUCAACGGCACAUAGUCGCGUAAGCGACCUAACUGACUACCGAACCGACCAAUUCGUGAAUUGUUUAUUAACGCUUAAUUAAGAAAAGAAGAAAAAGAGUGAGAGAGAGAGAGAGAGAGAGAGAGAGAGAGAGAGAGAGAAAAGAAAAUGAUCAUUUUCUUCCUCCUUCCUUUUUCUUAUUAUUAUCCAUCAACGACUAUAUCACCAAUCGGAAAUACCGCAGAAACUUUCUAGCAGAAAUCGUGCCGAAGGAACACGGCGACCGAAAGGAACAGAGAAAAUGAAGGGAUGUUGUACGUGCGCUGCCGCGAAGGAAGAUCGAGAGAGAUGGAGAAAUAUGAGCCAAUGAUGCAACGACGAUGCGCCUUUCUGCGAUUCAUUCGAGUAUCUCGAAAAUGUCGACGUUAAUUUCUUCUAAGAUAGAUCGCUGUCCUAGUAAUUGAAAACCACCGAGAAAUCUUUCCUCGUUCUUCAUUGUAAGGUAUUAUUUGAGACAGAAAAAAGAAAAAAGGAAAACAAAAAAAAAAAAAAAAGAAAGAAGAAAAAAGAAAUUCAAAAAUUAUUGUUCGUAAUAUAAUAUUAUAAAAACAUAGUUGGAUAUUCUCUACGUAGAACGAUUUUUGCGUUUUCGAUGUUACAAAAUGAAAUACAAAAUGAUAGAUAUUUAUUCAUGGUUAAUUUGAUCGGAAUGAAAAUUGCUUGAUCGAAAAGUCAGAUAUAAUAUUAUUUGUAACAGGUUCAUUUUAGAACGAAAGGAUGGAUAUGGGGUAUGUCCGACGUAUUAUGAUUAAUUUUUUAGAGGCAAGUCUCGCAUCUACGAUAGUUAGAUAUAUAUAUACAUAUAUAUAUAUAUUUGGAGUCAGUAAAACGGUACGUUCAAAGAAAAAAAGUAGGAGGGGUAUGACAAGGAAAAGAAUGAGAAGUACGUGGGUGGUGCACGGCUUGGAGAAACGAUCUACUCAAGAGGAAAGCAAGAGAGAGAGAGAGAGAGAGAGAGAGAGAGAGAGAGAGGGAGAGAGAGAGAGAGAGUCCACAUAUUCAUGAAAGCAACGUUUUAUAUUAUCUCCGGUAUAUUUCCGUGUGUCAAGAAGAACCGGUGCAACCGUAGCUACCCCUAGACCCUACAUGACGUCUCUUCUUUCCUCAUUUCAACACCCCUUUUCUCUUCAAUUCCCUUUCCUCGUUCCCUCUCCAUAUCCACGAGUCUUUCGCCGGACACGCGGAUACGGAGUGCUUCCAUGAAUUUUCGAUAAUCCAAAUUGGAUUCUCCUAUUGGCGGCACCGGUCCACCGUUCUCUUUUCUUUCCCAUUGUUUCUUCCUUUUGUUUUUUUCUCCAUCCUUUUUCCCUUUCUCUCUCUCUCUCUCUCUCUCUCUCUUUUUCCCUAUUUCUCUUACCAUUCUUUUCUUUCUCUACGUUUCUCUCGCUGGUAUCACAUGAAAUUGUUUUUCCCGUAGAAAGUUACGAAUUCGUGUGCUCGGGGAAAAAGAGGAAAAUUGGGGGUUGCUGUUGCCGUUCUUGCCAUUUUCUCUCUUUCUCUCUCUCUCUCUCUCUCUCUCUCUCUCUCCUUCUAUCUUUCUAUAUCUCUUAUGCUCUCAUUCUUCCAUGCUCGCUCAUCCCUAUUUGCCUUUCUCUCUUCGACUUCUUCCAUUAUUUUUGUUCUUUUUUUUCUUUUUUUCACCUUCUUUCCUUCCCUUUCGUAUAGGAAAUUCGUCGUUCGUAGACGCGGAAAAUACGGAUUCCGGAAUCGUUCCGAUAGGUCGGAACAAGAAUGCGAACACGUAAGAAACAUAAACCACUAAGAAAGUGAAUAAAGAAAGAGGCGGUUUACGUGGUCAAGAGAAUAUACGCGUAUCUAUAUGUUAUCUAUCUAUGUGGGUGGUUGGAAUUCGUUGAAAUUGAAAAGUAAUUCGGGCACAAUGGUUUGUAUACGAGCGUGACUAGAGCGUUUUUUACAUCCACUUUUUUCGUAAUUCAAUUAUUGUUUGUCAUUAAAAAAGAAAAGAUAAACGAAAGAAGAAAAAAAAAAGCAAAAAAGAUCAAUUCUAUUACAUAUUAUAAAGUAUGAAUUCGAUCGAGUUUAUUGAAAAUUAAUUUGUUCUAUUGAAUGAUAUUCUCAGACAUCUUGAUGGUACGCAUUACUCGACAAAUUGAUAUCAGAUUUGAUAAUAGGUUCCCCUACGAUAUUGCAUUGAUUUUCUUUGAGAGUUAUAUUUGUAUAAUGGAAGCAUAUAUAGAGUUGCAUUUAAUAAUGUUGCGUAUUAAUACUGCAUCAAUUAAUUCCGCUGCAUUUAGUUUUCCUAUUAUUUAUCUAUCUAUUCCUCUUUCUCUCUCUCUCUCUCUCUCUCUCUAUUUUUCCAAAUCAUCAUUUAUUUUAAUUUUUUUUUCAUAUUUAAUUUUAUUUUGAAUAUAAUAAAUAAAA